UACGUAGGGUGCGAGCGUUGUCCGGAAUUACUGGGCGUAAAGAGCUCGUAGGUGGUUUGUCGCGUUGUUCGUGAAAACCGGGGGCUUAACCCUCGGCGUGCGGGCGAUACGGGCAGACUUGAGUACUGCAGGGGAGACUGGAAUUCCUGGUGUAGCGGUGGAAUGCGCAGAUAUCGGUAGGAACACCAGUGGCGAAGGCGGUCUCCUGGGGCAUUCUUGACGCUGAU
rnacentral:rRNA from 1 species